UACGUAGGGUGCAAGCGUUGUUCGGAAUUAUUGGGCGUAAAGAGCUCGUAGGCGGUCUGUCGCGUCGGCUGUGAAAACUCGGGGCUCAACUCCGAGCUUGCAGUCGAUACGGGCAGGCUAGAGUUCGGCAGGGGAGACUGGAAUUCCUGGUGUAGCGGUGAAAUGCGCAGAUAUCAGGAGGAACACCGGUGGCGAAGGCGGGUCUCUGGGCCGAUACUGACGCUGAGGAGCGAAAGCGUGGGGAGCGAACAGG
rnacentral:rRNA from 1 species